rnacentral:lncRNA from 10 species
GCUGGGCGUGGUGGCACAUGCCUGUAAUCCCAGCUACUAGGGAGGCUGAGGCAAGAGAAUCACUUGAAUCUGGGAGGCGGAGCUUGCUGUGAGCCGAGAAGGCGCCACUGCACUCCAGCUUGGGCGACAGAGGGAGAUUCCAUCUCAAAAAAAAAAAGUAUCUUUUUUUUUUUUGAGACGGAGUUUCACUCUUGUUGCCCAGGCUGGAGUGCAAUGGCGCGAUCUCGGCUCACCACAAGCCCCACCUCCCGGAUUCAAGUGGUUCUCUUGC